CAUCUCACUCUAUCUCUUUCUUUAUCAACCCGCCUCCCCAUCUCUGCAACUUCUCUUUCUCGCCCGCUUAUUCUUCUUUUUCAAUUCCUGAUGUCAAAAAAUUAUUGCAUCUUCUUUGAUUUCAUCUAUUGAUAAUCCUUAGGUUGUAGUACCAUUCAGAGUCUUUAGGAGAGAAAAUAGAAGACAUAUUGACAGCCGGUUCCUGAUUUGGUUCGAUUGAUGAGUCUCGAUCUGUUAAGAGUUGUGCAGGUGAGAAGAAAAUACAGGCCUGAAAAUGGUCGCAAUAGCACCAGAAUCAUACAAGACUAUGCCUGAUUAAUUCUUCGGUGAGUCGACUCAGUGACUCGCUGAACCCUAACUCGCCGAAUCAACCGAAUCCAUCCAAACUCUAUUGAGGGCUUUUUAGACUUUUAUCAGGUGCCAGCUGGAACUUAACGGACUUAACAAGUCGUUAGCCGUUUUUUGAAUAAAACGGUCAAAGAAGGGGCAUUUUUGAAAAGUUCUAAAAAACGGGGGCACUUUUAUUAGUGUAUUUCAAAACAGGGGAAUUUUAUCAAAAUUUCCUAUUUUAUUUUUAUCAAAUUUUCAUCAUAUAUGUACACACUCAUGAUGUUAUACCCACCAUGUGUUAUAAUUUACCAUACAUAUUUUCUUUAUUAUGUUAUACUAUUUUUUUAGGUCUUCCUCAAAA